rnacentral:rRNA from 1 species
GAUGAACGCUGGCGGCGUGCCUAAUACAUGCAAGUCGAGCGAACGGACGAGAAGCUUGCUUCUCUGAUGUUAGCGGCGGACGGGUGAGUAACACGUGGAUAACCUACCUAUAAGACUGGGAUAACUUCGGGAAACCGGAGCUAAUACCGGAUAAUAUUUUGAACCGCAUGGUUCAAAAGUGAAAGACGGUCUUGCUGUCACUUAUAGAUGGAUCCGCGCUGCAUUAGCUAGUUGGUAAGGUAACGGCUUACCAAGGCAACGAUGCAUAGCCGACCUGAGAGGGUGAUCGGCCACACUGGAACUGAGACACGGUCCAGACUCCUACGGGAGGCAGCAGUAGGGAAUCUUCCGCAAUGGGCGAAAGCCUGACGGAGCAACGCCGCGUGAGUGAUGAAGGUCUUCGGAUCGUAAAACUCUGUUAUUAGGGAAGAACAUAUGUGUAAGUAACUGUGCACAUCUUGACGGUACCUAAUCAGAAAGCCACGGCUAACUACGUGCCAGCAGCCGCGGUAAUACGUAGGUGGCAAGCGUUAUCCGGAAUUAUUGGGCGUAAAGCGCGCGUAGGCGGUUUUUUAAGUCUGAUGUGAAAGCCCACGGCCCAACCGUGGAGGGUCAUUGGAAACUGGAAAACUUGAGUGCAGAAGAGGAAAGUGGAAUUCCAUGUGUAGCGGUGAAAUGCGCAGAGAUAUGGAGGAACACCAGUGGCGAAGGCGACUUUCUGGUCUGUAACUGACGCUGAUGUGCGAAAGCGUGGGGAUCAAACAGGAUUAGAUACCCUGGUAGUCCACGCCGUAAACGAUGAGUGCUAAGUGUUAGGGGGUUUCCGCCCCUUAGUGCUGCAGCUAACGCAUUAAGCACUCCGCCUGGGGAGUACGACCGCAAGGUUGAAACUCAAAGGAAUUGACGGGGACCCGCACAAGCGGUGGAGCAUGUGGUUUAAUUCGAAGCAACGCGAAGAACCUUACCAAAUCUUGACAUCCUUUGACAACUCUAGAGAUAGAGCCUUCCCCUUCGGGGGACAAAGUGACAGGUGGUGCAUGGUUGUCGUCAGCUCGUGUCGUGAGAUGUUGGGUUAAGUCCCGCAACGAGCGCAACCCUUAAGCUUAGUUGCCAUCAUUAAGUUGGGCACUCUAAGUUGACUGCCGGUGACAAACCGGAGGAAGGUGGGGAUGACGUCAAAUCAUCAUGCCCCUUAUGAUUUGGGCUACACACGUGCUACAAUGGACAAUACAAAGGGCAGCGAAACCGCGAGGUCAAGCAAAUCCCAUAAAGUUGUUCUCAGUUCGGAUUGUAGUCUGCAACUCGACUACAUGAAGCUGGAAUCGCUAGUAAUCGUAGAUCAGCAUGCUACGGUGAAUACGUUCCCGGGUCU